UUUGGGUGCCGGUUAACAGAUAAAUGCCCAACUCCGUCAGGUCCGGAAGGAAGCAGCGGUAAGCAUAAGUUUGUGUAGCCGGUUACCCUUUUUU
rnacentral:SRP_RNA from 1 species